AUUGAACGCUGGCGGAAUGCUUUACACAUGCAAGUCGAACGGUAGAGGGGGCAACCCCUCGAGAGUGGCGAACGGGUGAGUAAUAUAUCGGAACGUGCCCAGUCGUGGGGGAUAACGUAGCGAAAGUUACGCUAAUACCGCAUACGAUCGAAGGAUGAAAGCGGGGGAUCGCAAGACCUCGCGCGAUUGGAGCGGACGAUAUCAGAUUAGGUAGUUGGUGGGGUAAAGGCUCACCAAGCCAACGAUCUGUAGCUGGUCUGAGAGGACGACCAGCCACACUGGAACUGAGACACGGUCCAGACUCCUACGGGAGGCAGCAGUGAGGAAUUUUGGACAAUGGGCGAAAGCCUGAUCCAGCCAUUCCGCGUGCAGGAUGAAGGCCCUCGGGUUGUAAACUGCUUUUGUACAGAACGAAAAGGUUUCUACUAAUACUAGGAGCUCAUGACGGUACUGUAAGAAUAAGCACCGGCUAACUACGUGCCAGCAGCCGCGGUAA
rnacentral:rRNA from 1 species